CAGAGAAGGAAGAAGGAGAGGAGGAGGCAGCAGCUAAGAAGAGUGCAGAGAGAGGGAGAGUUGGAGCACAGCAGUCAUGGAGGCAUUUGUUGAAAUGGAGGUGCCAAAAGAUUGAAGAGAUGUGGAUUGCUGACCCACUGCAUGAAGGUGGUUGCCCUACAGAGUCACCUGGACCUGCACUGACUUGGUAUAAAGCCCUUCAUCACCUACUGCUCUCAAAUCCCAAGGAUCGACAGGCCGUGUCUUCGUAUCUAAGUUUGGAAAGAACCCAGCUCUAUGAGGUUUGAUCUGUUUUGUUUGUGGAUGAGGAAGCAAGCACAAGGAGUAAAGUGGCCAAGGUGACAUGACCAUGAAUUAUCAGAAUCCAGACUCAAUGCUCCACCUUAUCUGAACUAACAGAGUUCUGAGAAGUGCCCCAUGUAGUAAGUUCCAGCAUCCCUCUGAGAUGUUGCGGAUUCAGUUUUAGGCCACCAUAGUAAAAUGAAUAUUGCAACAAAGCAGGUUACACACACUUUUGUUUUCCCAAUGUAAUAGAAGUUAUGUUUACAUUAUCUUGUAGUCUAUUAAGUGUGCAAUAACAUUGUGUCUAAAAAACAAUGUACACAUCUUAAUUAAAAAAUACUUUAUUGCCAGAAAUGCAAGUGAUCAUCUGAGCCUUCAGCUAGUCAUAAUCUUAUUGCCGGUGGAGGGCCUUGUCUCUAUGUUGACAGUGGCUGGUGGAUCAGGC
rnacentral:lncRNA from 10 species